rnacentral:rRNA from 1 species
UGCUCAACGGAUGGGCUGCGGAGGAUACCGCAGAGCUAGGAGGCGGGAGAGGCAAACGGUACUCAGUGGGUAGGGGUAAAAUCCGCUGAUCCAUUGAAGACCACCAGUGGCGAAGGCGGCUUGCCAGAACGCGCUCGACGGUGAGGGAUGAAAGCUGGGGGAGCAAACCGGAUUAGAUACCCGGGUAGUCCCAGGCUGUAACACGAGUGCGAGACUCCGGUGAUGGGCCGGCUUUAUGCCGGCUCAGUGCCGCAGGGGAAGCCCGUUAAGUCUGCCGCCUGGGGAGUACGGUCGCAAGACUGGAAACUCUAAACGGAAUUGGCGGGGGAGCACCACAAGGGGUGAAGCCCUGCGGGUUCAAUUGGAGUCAACGCCGGAAAUCUUACCGGGGGCGACAGCANGAGUGAAGGNNNUCAANGNCUGAAGAACUUUAACCAGACAAGCUGAGAGGAGGUGCAUGGCCGUCGCCAGCUCGUACCGUGAGGUGUCCUGUUAAGUCAGGUAACGAGCGAGAUCCCUGCUUUUAGUUGCUACCACUACUCUCAGGAGGAGUGGGGCUAAUUAAAAGGACUGCCGCCGCUAAGGCGGAGGAAGGAGGGGGCUACGGCAGGUCAGUAUGCCCCGAAACCCUCGGGCCACACGCGGGCUGCAAUGGUAAGGACAAUGGGCUCCGAUUCCGAAAGGAGGAGGCAAUCCCUAAACCUUACCUCAGUUAUGAUUGAGGGCUGAAACUCGCCCUCAUGAAUAUGGAAUCCCUAG